rnacentral:misc_RNA from 1 species
UUGAGACAAGCAUAUGACUACUGGCAGGAUCAACCAGGUAGCAUUCCUCUUUGCUGCCGGCACCGCAUGAGCAACAGGACGGAUGUCGUCCGGAAGUCAACACGGGGCACGUCAAGCUUUCGUAAGGGACUAUUGAUUCGGGCAAAAAAAGGGACAGAGGCCCCGACCGAUCAUUGCUUCUACAUACAAGACUUCGAGCGACACAUGGUCAUCCGAUGCCUGCUAGCUAAAAUCAGCAAAGCAAGGGCGGACGUCCAUGGGGGCUUCAUGGUCUAUCCCGCGUCAAAACAUUUGGCACGGGAUAGAGUACGGACCGUGGGACUAGAGAAUUCCAUCAAAAUAGGUAUGCUACACAGGGGGCCAAGGCAAUCCAAGGCAAAAAGAUUUGGCACUCGGAUAGAACUGAACAGGUGUGAACCAGCGAUUGUCGCUGCCGAGGCAGGGAACCA